GCCGCGUUCGUCUAGUUCGGUCUAGGACGCUAGGUUCUCAUCCUAGAAAUCAUGGGUUCAAAUCCCAUACGCGGUA
rnacentral:tRNA from 1 species